rnacentral:tRNA from 1 species
UAGGUUGAAGUUCACUGAUUUGAGCGUCUGGCCGUUAACCAGGGAGUAGUGGGAUUAAUACCUGCCAGCCUAG